rnacentral:rRNA from 1 species
UCGGGGGACGAUAACGGCGUCGAGCGGCGGACGGGUGAGUAAUGCCUAGGAAAUUGCCCUGAUGUGGGGGAUAACCAUUGGAAACGAUGGCUAAUACCGCAUAAUGCCUACGGGCCAAAGAGGGGGACCUUCGGGCCUCUCGCGUCAGGAUAUGCCUAGGUGGGAUUAGCUAGUUGGUGAGGUAAUGGCUCACCAAGGCGACGAUCCCUAGCUGGUCUGAGAGGAUGAUCAGCCACACUGGAACUGAGACACGGUCCAGACUCCUACGGGAGGCAGCAGUGGGGAAUAUUGCACAAUGGGCGCAAGCCUGAUGCAGCCAUGCCGCGUGUGUGAAGAAGGCCUUCGGGUUGUAAAGCACUUUCAGUCGUGAGGAAGGUAGUGUAGUUAAUAGCUGCAUUAUUUGACGUUAGCGACAGAAGAAGCACCGGCUAACUCCGUGCCAGCAGCCGCGGUAAUACGGAGGGUGCGAGCGUUAAUCGGAAUUACUGGGCGUAAAGCGCAUGCAGGUGGUUUGUUAAGUCAGAUGUGAAAGCCCGGGGCUCAACCUCGGAAUAGCAUUUGAAACUGGCAGACUAGAGUACUGUAGAGGGGGGUAGAAUUUCAGGUGUAGCGGUGAAAUGCGUAGAGAUCUGAAGGAAUACCGGUGGCG